CCUACGGGGGGCAGCAGUGGGGAAUAUUGGACAAAGGGGGGAACCCUGAUCCAGCCAUGCCGCGUGUGUGAAGAAGGCCCUCGGGUUGUAAAGCACUUUCAGUGAGGAAGAACGCCUGGUGGUUAAUACCCAUCAGGAAAGACAUCACUCACAGAAGAAGCACCGGCUAACUCCGUGCCAGCAGCCGCGGUAAUACGGAGGGUGCGAGCGUUAAUCGGAAUUACUGGGCGUAAAGCGCGCGUAGGUGGCUUGAUAAGCCGGUUGUGAAAGCCCCGGGCUCAACCUGGGAACGGCAUCCGGAACUGUCAAGCUAGAGUGCAGGAGAGGAAGGUAGAAUUCCCGGUGUAGCGGUGAAAUGCGUAGAGAUCGGGAGGAAUACCAGUGGCGAAGGCGGCCUUCUGGACUGACACUGACACUGAGGUGCGAAAGCGUGGGUAGCAAACAGGAUUAGAUACCCCGGUAGUC
rnacentral:rRNA from 1 species